AUAACGAGACACGAUGUUUUAAAUUUUAAUAUAAUACAUUACAUUUAAUGCUAAUCAACAACGUCUAAUUGUUCAAUGCUUUUCGUAGCCAAAUCUUAACUCUGUUUAUUUGUAUUACUUGUUGGUGAUUUCCAUUAACCAUAUAUCAUUAUUCAUGUUUCUUGGAUACCUUAACUGGUUCUUAUGUACUCAACCAUUCAGAUUCUUGCACACACUGCGAUGGUAACUGUAGAGUUCAAUAGUUGUAUCAGCUGCAUUUUAAGGCUAUUGUGGCGAUACCGUCAAAACAGUAUAAUUUUUCUGCCACCGCUAUAGGUUGUCAUAAGUCUCAGUUUGGCCAAAACAAUAUCGGUUUUGAAAUAUAGUGUCCCAGUGUCAUGUACAUGUUUUGGUACAGUCAAUUGUCCAG
rnacentral:misc_RNA from 1 species